UUUAAGCAUGUUUUAAGAUUUAACUCACAAAAUAUCGCUACCCAUCUUGUUGAAUAAGUCUUAAUGUUAUUGGUACAUCGACGAUCGUAAGUUUCAUAUCAUUGUGCUUAGUGCGAGUUUUUUAACGUUCUCGAUAGAGUAAAAGUUAACUCAAAAUUUGUAUGGAGUUGGAAUGAUUGUCUACGUUUGCCGCUAGGGGCGCUGUUCCGACUGCAUACCAAUUUGACAUAACUUUUACGCUAUCGAGUACGUUCAAAAACUCGCACUAAGCACACAGAACGCGGCGGAUGACAUUAUGGCCAUAAACUUUCCUUUCACUAAUCGCAAAAAAAACAUUCCACUCCUAUUUUAUCUUUCUUGCACUUUAUUUGAUAGUAAUUUAAUCAGUGUUGUUUCAGUCGUCUUAUACCUUGAUCAUUGAGCAACUUCGUAUAGAAACGAGACUGUCGACGAUUUGCUACCAGAAGGUUCUUGGUUACUUUGGUCAUAUUGCUCGGCGGCCACCAGACAACCUUGAAAGAUUGAUUGUGGUGGGCAAGGUAGAAGGGAAAAGACCCGUCGGCCGGCCACCAAACCGUUGGUCGGAUCAGAUAACUGCGCUCACUGGACUCUCUGUUGCGAACGCCCUGAGAGAAGCCGAAAACCGAAGCAAAUGGAAGCUGAGGGUACAAAGAGCCACGAAGGGCUUUCAAGGACACGACCUUCAGCAAUGAAGUAUUCGACUAAGAAGAAGACCUUGAUCAUGAUUUUUGGGUCAUAUCUGGUUCAUUCAACUAUCAAGAGCUUACACUGGCUUGUUACAAUAAAAAUAUUUUAAUACCUGUUCUUGCUGAGGCCAGAAACGAGACAGCUGAUGCCCACCACAAAGAAUACGGCGACCAGCAGAGUCUUCUUGGACAGUGGGGCGACACUUAUCGCCAUCACAAUGACGCUGUACACAAGUGUCGUGACCACCAUCACUAGGAGGGUGCUGUUUGAGAUCGUAUCCACGCACGCGUCAGUAAUCGCCUGUAGGAGAUAUUAAUUGCUUAGGUGGGUGGAUGAGCUCACGGCGCACCUGUUGUUAAGUGGUUGCCGGGGCCCUACAUCAUACCUACAAAGCUACUACCUUACAUCGUGGCAUAUAUAAUGUAAAUGCCGCCACCUACCUUGAGAUAUGAGUUUUUUUUUUUUUUUAUGAUUGAAAGAUUACUGGUGGCCCGGAGGCCUUUCCAGCUUCACCAGGACAGGUGGGUGAGCAAAGGCUCAGCCAGGAGGGGUGGGAUUUGCUAACAACUGCCCGAGCGCCUCCGAAGGAGACCUAACAACUCAAGAGCAAUUGCUUCGCGAAUGAAUCUACUACCGGAUCGGAAUCGCGACCCACUGAGAAGAUCCGGCGAGAAACUCAGCGGGCUGAUGCAUGGGCUUUCCCCUGUUAAUGGAGUAUAUUUUCCUGAGGACAGCCAGAGCUUCGGUGCGUUUGCCUCUCGUGACUAGGAAUUUGGGGCUCUCCUGCAUCCAGGUCAUGCAGACCGCCACUACGAGCAAUGGAAUAGCGUAGACGAUGGUUAGAAGACGCCACGGUCUAAAGAUAAUCGCACCCAUUUGGUAUCGCCAUUCGUAUGGAAGAAUUAACCAGGCCAGCACUAGAAAUUAGAAAUACAUAUUACAUUUUUCAUCAUAUUUCGUUUAAAUUUGAGCUUGCAGAUUAUGUUGGUAAACAAAAAAAUAAAUAAACAAUAUUAUUAUUAUA